GACGUAGGGCGCGAGCGUUUGUCCGGAUUUAUUGGGCGUAAAGAGCUCGUAGGCGGCUUGUCGCGUCGUUCGUGAAAACCCGGGGCUCAACUCCGGGCUUGCGGGCGAUACGGGCAGGCUAGAGUUCGGUAGGGGAGACUGGAAUUCCUGGUGUAGCGGUGAAAUGCGCAGAUAUCAGGAGGAACACCGGUGGCGAAGGCGGGUCUCUGGGCCGAUACUGACGCUGAGGAGCGAAAGCGUGGGGGAGCGAACAGG
rnacentral:rRNA from 1 species